UUAUAAACAGCUUUAUUUAUCAUGAUUGUGUGGCUAUAAAUAGUUUGGUUCGCUGGGUGUAGCAGCAUAGCUCCGUGCUGUUCUGCCAGAGCCAGCCAGAGCCGGGAGGAACGCGACAGCGUGUAGGUGAAUCCUGUCUUUUCCUCUUCUUGGCAGACCCUGUCUGUGAGUCCUUGGCCAGGCUAUUUCAUCUACUUCCUCAAUGUCCCUUUCGGAACGAGGAGUUGUGCUCUACCGUGUUCCCAGGAGGUGGUAGAAGUUACUCACGUAAUUAAUUAAUGUCUGCCCCAAGAUCGCAGUUGAAAGUUGAAAGGGAACAGGGUGCCAGCACGGCCUCCUUUGUGCCCAUUCACGGACAAUGAGCUAAUUACAGCCUCUUUCUCAUGCUGGAGGGUGGAGCGAGAUAUCCUGUUAUUCUCCAGAGCAGGCAAAGCUCUAAAGGACAGCUGAAGUGUAUUAGGCAGCAUGGCACAAAUCAGAGAGAGCAGGGCCCGGUGAGAAACUGACAUCAUGCUGCCAUCUUGGCUUCCUCUCAGAUGCACUCUGAGCCCCUGUAAGUGUGCAAGUAGGCAUGCCCAGGGAUUUGGGGCAAAAGAGAUAAGCAGGCAGUACUUCUUGAAAAAGGAGUUACAUUUUUUUUUCAUUCUACAUCGCCAACAUUUUCAUUAUCGUCAUCAUCGUCAUUAUUGCAAUUCUCUGUCCAAGGGUGCUAUGAGAUGCAUCCUAUUUGAACCUCUCCCACUGGAGCUGCGGCAAGGAGAGCCUGCCUGAGUAAACUGCCAGGUACACUACAGGGAACUCGGGGCAUGGAUGCCAAAGAUCCAACGCCAUGGGACCCUGAGGACCCGCUUCUCAUCCUGACCUGGGUGCCAGGGAAGGCAUCCUGGAGGAGGUGGGCCCCCUGCUGAAUCCUACAGAUCAGGAAACUGAGCCUGAAGGACCAAGUGACUUGCUCAAGGUCGUUUGACGUUUAAGAGAGAGAGCUGGGAUAAUAUGUCUCUUGCCUACCAUAAAAGGUGACUAACAUUUCUUGGAAAGAGAUAGACGGUCCGUUGUACAGAUGCAGCACUGUGGUUACGGAGGAGGGUUCUGGAGUCAGACACGCCUAGGUGCGAAUCGUAGCUCUGUCGCUAUUUGUGAGGCAAUGGCAUGUGGCUGCUCUUCUUUGAGCCUCAGUUUUCUCAUCCAUAAAGGGGAACCAUAAUGAUACAACAACAAAGGCACUGGGAGAAUUAAAUGAGAUAAUGCAGGUCAAGUAUUCGGCUGGGAUUCCUAGCACACGGAACAUCUCCAACAUAUAACAGAAACUGCGGCGAAAACCAAACCAAAAAGCAAACAAAUGAAACCACACAAACACCCCCAAACGAGGCUCCUUGUUCUUUCGCCCCAGCAGGUCUGUCAGAGAGAUGUUACUGAUGAAGUUUCCUUCUUCUGCGCAUCCUGUCGUGUGCACUUACUGCUUCGGAGAGAGAAACACAGGAGCCCGGUUCACCAUCAGGCUUUGGGCCAGAGACAGAGACAGAUCCGAUAGACAGAGAUAGGGAUGGGGACAUCGAGGCAGGGCCCGAGUGAGCAGUGCCCAUGAACAAGAGGAAUCUGAUGUGCUUAGCUGGCCCAGCAGGAAGCCCGAAGGAGGAAGGCCAGUGAGGGUCUGGGACAGCUGCCCCCACUUUGGAGCCCAGCCCGCGCCUGCGGCAGAUCAGGAAAGUGGAGGCCCAGAGAGAUGUAAAUCACAUGCUCAAAGUCACAGACCUCGAAAUGAAGCCUAGAAUGAAAACAAUCUCACUGAUUUCAAAGUCUGUCCUGUGCAUGUCCACCGACCCGGUUACAUUUUACUGGAGUGCAUUUUUCACUACCCUCCCUUCUCACCUUGGUUUGCCCAUGGAGAUGUGGCUGUGACUUCCUGUGGCUGAGAGAAGCAGCAAUGUCUGGGGUCUGCGCGCCGCGUUGCUGCCAGCCCGUCUGCGGGCCGUGUUGCACCCCCACCUCCCUCAGCCUCAGGUGGAUGGCCCCUCAGCAAAUGCCUUUCCUGGAGAAAUGAAAAUGCUGCAGCCCCCGCCGCCCGACUCCCGUUCGGUUCAAACCUCUGCUCUAUCUCUGUUGCCCAGCUGCGCCUGCGGUGCCCUCCCUACCUGGCAGAGGGAGACACCUUUGGUAGUCAGACGUCCAUUUCAAACCGAAGGCACGCUCCGUUUGGAAAACGGAGCAUUUUCAUUGUGCUUUGGUUUCUGGGGGUUGGGGGGUGGAUUAAAACUGGGAUAAAUGCAAAAGAUCCUGGAGGACAAUGAGAAAGGAAAGCUCUGCAAGGAAGAGGCAGAAAGGGGGUGGAGGUGGGAGAUGGGAGGGGGCUGGCAGGACCAGUGAAAGAAUCAACCACGCUUUCAUCUUGAGUCUGAUCCAUUUCUGAACCCUGAUGGGAAAGGUCAUGAAUUUUAAAAUGCGUCUCUCCAGCCGACAGCUCCAGUCAUAAAACCCACACUCUCUGAAGCUGUAGACUGCUGCGGGAGACCCGAGACCGAGACCGAGGGAGCCGGAGGCGGGCGGGGGAGCGCCGGCCGCUGUCAGCAGGCGGAGAUGAGAGGGAGUUUGAACAGCUGUCCGGAGGAGGCUUCUGAGGUCGCCCUCCUCCCGGCCAGCUCCGGGAGGUUUCCACGAGGCCUUGGCACCAACAGAUAACUUUCUGAGCUGGCCUCCUGGCAGUGCUGGCUGCUUGUGUCACUAACAAGUCCCCUGGCCACCUGCAGUCCUGAUUCACCUGCUGAGAGGGGGUGUGGUGGGGAUGGGUUGGUGCCUUUCUCACCAGGACCCUGAGAGCUGGUCCAGAAGGGGAAGCCCGGGGUCUCCCGAUGUCUCUGAGGAGGGCAAGAGUUUGCAGGUUCCAAGUUGGGUUGUUGUUGGGGUUGCUGCCCGGCUGUGGGAGGGAUCUGAAGGCGGCUGCUGUCUUUUCUGGGCUGGAAUAGGCAAUGGUGACCAUUUUCCUUGCGGCCCUGGGGAAUGUCAGUGUAUCUUACUGGAGGAAAAGUGCAUGCUCUUGAGGAACAGUGUGUGUGUUUUUGAAAAUGUAUUGUUAUAUCUUAAACAGAAGAUAUGCUCAUUUUUUUGGUAGGACGCUGAGGAAGUGCAAUCACGGCUUAUCUGUUUGUACAUUGAGAGUUGGGAGUAUUAAGUUUUCAGAAAGCAGGAUAGUGGCAACGGAAACAAGAUUGCAGACAUUUCCCAAGGCGCCAAGCCGCCCGGAGGAGUCCCAUCAUAGCCUCCAAGAACUCUGCUCCUUAGUUGGAUGCUGAGCCCGGGGACCAGAGGCUGGUGGCCUUGGGAAGAGUGAUGCCAUGCACAGCCAAUCCUGUAGAGACACUGGGGGCUUUGGGAGCCCCAGGAGAACCCCAGCCUCUCUCUGUGUCCUGUGUGGUCGUGUCCUUACACUGCUGAAGAAUCGGGAAACCCUUCCCAGGGGUCAGAAGCGUGUGCAGGGGAAUCGCUGUGCUUCAGCAUUGGGACUUCCGGGUCUCUCAGUUUUGUGGAAGCUUUUUUAGAGGGUGUGCCAGACAAAACAGCCUCCCUCUUAUUUAAGAAAAAAAUGUUUUUAAUGUAAUAAAAUAUGCAUAAUAUAAAAUUUACCAUUUUAACCGUAUUUAAGUGUAUAGUUAUGCGGUAUGAAGUGCACUCACGUUGUUGUGAAACCGUCACCACCAUCCGUCUCUAGAACUUUUUCAUCUUCCCAAACAGAACCCCGUACCCAGUAAACACUACCUCUUCCUUCCCCCUUCCUCCCAGCCCCUGGCAACCACUGUUCUACUUUCUGUCUCCGUGAAUCUGACGACUCUUGGUACCUUGUGUAAGUGGAAUCAUACAGUAUUUGUCUUUUUGUGCCUGGCUUAUUUCACUUCACCUAAUAUCUUCAAGGUUCAUCUAGGCUGUACCAUGUAUCAGAAUUUCAUGUCUUUAUUUUACUAAUUUUUUAUUGUAGUAAAAUAUAGAUAACAUGAUGUUUACCAUUUUAAGCAUUCACAAGUACGCAAUUCAGUGGCAUUGAAUACAUCCGCAACGUCGAGUAGCCAUCACCAUUAUCUAGACUCAAAACUCGUCAUCAUCUUCCACAUAAAUUCUGUGCCUGUUAAACAUUAACUUCCCUUCCCACAGCCCCUGGUGACCGCUAUUCUGUCUUCAGCCUGUGAAUUUGCCCAUUCUAGGUACCUCAUGAAAGUGGAAUCAUACGAUACCUCCCUCGUUUUUGGCACAGAUUAUUUUAGGACAUAGGUUUGCAGAGACCUCACCCAGAGACAGAAGAGCAGUGAGUCACAGCAUAUGGCUGUGCUGACAAGAGGUUCCUCAGAAGUAGGUGGAGACUGCAAUGGAAAAACAAGGUAGAGUGUCAUGAGGCGCCCGGACACGAGCCCCCGAGCCCCAUGAAGGGGUGCUCUGCUGGGGAUGACCUGGCAGGGAUGCCCAACUGUGAGAUGGCCGCAGCCACAGAGGAGGCCUUGAGAUUCUCACAUCGCAGAGCUUCCCCUGCUUUGACUUCAUUGACAGUGAGCAGCCUUCUGAAAACCUGACUCUCCACGGAGCCUGACGGCAGGAGGGAGAACGGGGGACAGAGUGACACGGGUAUCUCUUUAGCUUGGUGCUGAUGCAGGUCUUGGCGACAGAGAGGAGUGGUCAGGACCUGAAUGUAGGAGUUGUUCGUGCGUUUGAAGACCAGCUCUUCCAUUUACAGUGUGUGAGACCUGCAGCAAGUUCAUGUACUCCAGGAGGCUCGGCGUCCACUUGUGAAAAGCAGGAAUGAGAAGAAUCCCCAUCUCACAGGGUUAGGGUGAGGAAUAAAGACAGUAAUACAGAAGAUGGAAAAGUGCUCUGCUGAAUGCCUGACCCACAGUCAGUGUUCAGUAAUGAUCAUGCUUGCAAGAAUAAUUCAUUCUGAUGUUACAUAUCAGUUUCUUGUAAGUUUUGUUUGCAUGACUCCCUAUCCUUGAGUCCAAACAGCUUUAAGACUUUGAAAUUGAGUUUGGGGGUGUGCAUGCCUGAGGGCUGGGCAUUUCUGUAAAUUUGCUGGGAUGAAUAACACCUUGUGAAUCUUGAGAAAUCAGCAGUUUCUCUUCCUGUUGACAUCUCAAUCUUAUCACUCACUUUUUUUUCUAAGCAUUGGUGGAAAUAGAGAAUUUGGAAGUGUGAGCUCUUAUAUGGAGAAGAAAUAUUAAACUGCAACCUUCCUUGAGUUGGUCAUACUGCAAGGAUUGCACAGUGGUAGAUGGGAGACCUGGGAAGAAGACAUAGAGAGAACAAUUUGAAAUCGCCCCCAGACAGACAACUUUACCUUGGGGGGGGAUCCACUGGAGAGGGGUGGACCUGAUCUGGUGAAGCCGUGCAGUGUGAACAUGUGUGUCCAGGGCGUCUUCCCUGGGUGUCUUCAAGGGUUCUGCUCAAGGCAGCACUGGCUGCUGUCACAGUUGCCGGUGGGAUCCAGACAGUGGUCCUCAUGGUUCGAGGAAGAGCAUCUUCCUCGGGGAUACGCUCGGCAGUGACUCGGAUACACUCCCUGCAGACUCAGGACCAUCAGUCCCUUGACUCCUGGCCUUGAAGAGGAAGCCCACCCACUGGUCCGAUUUCCCCCAGCCUUACAGUGGGCAAAUUCUUCCUCAAAAGCCUCCUGGUCCCUUUUUGCCGUCUCGCUCAGGUUAUCUGAAGAUUUUUAUUAACAGCAUAUCUCAAAGCCAAAGCAUCGUGGUCUUGAUCCCUCUCCUCUCAGGUGCACCAACUGCUCCUGUCUGCAUUUGCUCAGCCCCCAGGCUCUGUUUAGCCAUGGGUGUGUCAGGGCGGUUGGGGAGCGUCCAUCUGCCCACAGAUCGCGGUUGGGUGGAUUAAUUAAUGAUUAUAGAGUACUUUGAAGGUUGGAGGGCUAAUUAUUUAGCCAAUUCCUUCCCUUCCCCCACAUCCCCUUGACAGCCUUUUGUCUCUUCCCCUCUUGGGACGACCUUUGAAGUGAAUAGGAGAGAAUGAAUCAGGGGUCAGUUAAUAGAGCUGGCCAUUCCAGAUGGCCAGACCAGAGAGCCCCGUCUGGAUGCUGCUCCACUGCAGGAGCUGAGAUUUUCUAUGAGACCUGCAGCACCCGGUACCUUUCUUUACAUCAGAGCUGGCCAAGGUUUCAGAAGACCGUGGCUUCCCACAUUCCCAACUGGGCGUGACAAACAGCAGGUUUUCAUUGGCUAAGGUGGAGCCUGAUGCCUCUGUGUCCAGGGUUUGCUCCCAAGUUUGAUGUGAAAUCCUUUAUCUAGUAAUUCAUUCUCUCCUCUCCCUCUAAUUACUCUUUUCCAGAGCUUGACCCCAUAGGAAGAACAUGGUGGUUUCUGCUCCCAUUCCUGGGUUUGUACGAGGUGGGAGAGAACGAGUUCUAAGCUGUGCUGUGGGAGAAAUGAGUUUGGGCUGCCUUGCAGAGUGAGUGGAUCCUAUUGUUUCUCUGCUUUCCCUCUUUCCCGACAA